rnacentral:sRNA from 1 species
UAUUCUGCCCUACGGGGAAGGAUGAGAAGCUUCGACUAAGGUUCGACUCGAGCGUAGCGAGAGAACGUUGCCG